UACGGGGGGGGCAAGCGUUGUUCGGAAUUACUGGGCGUAAAGGGUGCGUAGGUGGCCUGACAAGUUAUCAGUGACAAAUCGAGGCUCAACCUCGUGGAAACUGGUAAUACUGUUCGGCUUGAGUACAGGAGAGGUUAACGGAACUCUAUGUGGAGCGGUAAAAUGCACAGAUAUAUAGAAGAACAUCAAUAAAGGCGAAGGCAGUUAACUAUUCUGUUACUGACGCUGAGGCACGAAAGCGUGGGGAGCAAAACGG
rnacentral:rRNA from 1 species